GACGAACGCUGGCGGCGUGCUUAACACAUGCAAGUCGAACGGAAAGGCCCUGCUUUUGUGGGGUGCUCGAGUGGCGAACGGGUGAGUAACACGUGAGUAACCUGCCCUUGACUUUGGGAUAACUUCAGGAAACUGGGGCUAAUACCGGAUAGGAGCUCCUGCUGCAUGGUGGGGGUUGGAAAGUUUCGGCGGUUGGGGAUGGACUCGCGGCUUAUCAGCUUGUUGGUGGGGUAGUGGCUUACCAAGGCUUUGACGGGUAGCCGGCCUGAGAGGGUGACCGGCCACAUUGGGACUGAGAUACGGCGCAGACUCCUACGGGAGGCAGCAGUGGGGAAUAUUGCACAAUAGGCGGAAGCCUGAUGCAGCAACGCCGCGUGCGGGAUGACGGCCUUCGAGUUGUAAACCGCUUUCGCCUGUGACGAAGCGUGAGUGACGGUAAUGGGUAAAGAAGCACCGGCUAACUACGUG
rnacentral:rRNA from 1 species